GGUGAGGAAUCUAGCUCAGUGAUACAGCACUUUCCUAACAUGUGUGAGCCCCUGGGUUCAAUUCCCAGCCCCACCC
rnacentral:tRNA from 1 species